rnacentral:misc_RNA from 1 species
GAUGAAGAACGUAGCGAAAUGCGAUAAGUAAUGUGAAUUGCAGAAUUCAGUGAAUCAUCGAAUCUUUGAACGCACAUUGCGCCCCCUGGUAUUCCGGGGGGCAUGCCUGUUCGAGCGUCAUUUCACCACUCAAGCCUCGCUUGGUAUUGGGCAACGCGGUCCGCCGCGUGCCUCAAAUCGACCGGCUGGGUCUUCUGUCCCCUAAGCGUUGUGGAAACUAUUCGCUAAAGGGUGUUCGGGAGGCUACGCCGUAAAACAACCCCAUUUCUAAGGUUGACCUCGGAUCAGGUAGGGAUACUCGCUGAACUUAAGCAUAUCAAUAAGCGGAGGA